rnacentral:tRNA from 1 species
GCGGGACUGGCGAAAUUGGUAGACGCACCAGAUUUAGGUUCUGGCGCCGCAAGGUGUGAGAGUUCGAGUCUCUCCAUCCGCACCA